rnacentral:rRNA from 1 species
CCUACGGGUGGCAGCAGUGGGGGAUAUUGGACAAUGGGGGAAACCCUGAUCCAGCGACGCCGCGUGAGUGAAGAAGUAUUUCGGUAUGUAAAGCUCUGUCAGCAGGGAAGAAAGAAAUGACGGUACCUGACCAAGAAGCCCCGGCUAACUACGUGCCAGCAGCCGCGGGAAUACGUAGGGCGCAAGCGUUAUCCGGAGUUACUGGGUGUAAAGGGAGCGUAUACGGGUAUGCAAGUCUGGAGUGAAAGGCGGGGGCCCAACCCCCGGACUGCUCGGGAAACUGGGGAACUUGAGUGAAGGAGAGGGAGGCGGAAUGCGUGGUGUAGCGGUGAAAGGCGUAGAUAUUAGGAGGAACACCAGUGGCGAAGGCGGCUUACUGGACUGUAACUGACGUUGAGGCUCGAAAGCGUGGGGAGCAAACAGGAUGAGAUACCCCAGGAGUC